rnacentral:rRNA from 1 species
AUGACGCAGAGACCCGCGGCACCGUAUGAGGAAAGCAUCGAGUCUACCGGGCGGCCACAUGAGGACAUCAUCUUCUCGUCUACGUCCUCACAGGUUCUGGCGCAGGUGCUGCGUCGGCUACCAGCCCGUACCCUUGGGCGGCUCAAGUGCGUAUGUCGGACCUGGCGCGCCAUCAUUGAGUCUGGCCGCUUCAUCAGGCUGCACUACGAGCACACAGGCAGGAGCUCCCUUGCCCGUGUUGUCCUCUCCUCCAUGCCUUAUGACUGGCAGUUCGCCUCACUGGAUUCUUGCCUGAACGACCUGAAACUGGCAUGCCAAAUGCAGCAGCUACGUCGCAGGGUGGUGAGUUCGAAGCCCUGCCAUGGCCUCCUCCUCAUAGCCCACGACAGCUAUGGUGUUCACGUGUGCAACCCUGUCACCGGAGCACAGGUUUUCCAUUGCAGUUUGCCUUUUAAGCAGCCAUCAGACGCUGCUGCUGCUCACCCCGGUUGCGUUGGGUUGGGGUACGACCUAUUGAGGGAGGAGCAUAUCAUCGUGGUUCUUGCCUAUAAAUCGCGCAACUUUGACACUGGGAGCUACAGCAUGGAGUGCAGCAUCCGGAGGCUAACGGAUUGCAUGACGAAGAAGGUGGCUCCUUCGCCACCGAUCCCGGUGACCGUCGAUGUGCCACCGGUCUAUGCAGGGGGCAAGAUGUACUGGAUGGGGGAGUCACGAUUCAGUGCGGGCUGCUCAUCAAUUCUUGUGUUUGACAUCUGCAAUGAGUCUUUCGAUGUCCUACCAGCACCACUCACCAUGGGCCACAGUGGUAGGAUGGUCGUGGCGGAGCUCACCGGGCAGGUUCGUGUCGUGCACAUUUGCCCAAAUACAGAGACGAUGACCAUAUGGCGCAAGCAGGAGCCAGUUACACUUAAUGAUGGCCGAGGAUGGACAAGAGAGCACUGGAUACAGCUCGGACAGUGGCCAGACUUCUCACUGAGAACAGAAGCGAGGCUCGUGAUUCCUUUGGCUGUUGACGAUGCCGGACGGAUCUUACUCGACACUGGAAGAGCGCUGGGGUACUAUGACCCAAGAAACCAGACAUUGGAGACCGUAUACCCGACUACUAGCAGCAGUCUGCAGCUUAACUACCGCCCAGGCUUCUUCUUCGCGGUGUUGUGCGAGGACAGCUUAGUUCGUCCAAAUUGUCGGCAACGUCAGUACUUUUGA